GACGAACGCUGGCGGCGUGCUUAACACAUGCAAGUCGAACGGUAAGGCCCUUCGGGGUAUACGAGUGGCGAACGGGUGAGUAACACGUGGGUGAUCUGCCCUGCACUUCGGGAUAAGCCUGGGAAACUGGGUCUAAUACCGGAUAGGACCACUGCCUGCAUGGGUGGUGGUGGAAAGCUUUUGCGGUGUGGGAUGGGCCCGCGGCCUAUCAGCUUGGUGGUGGGGUGAUGGCCUACCAAGGCGACGGCGGGUAGCCGGCCUGAGAGGGUGACCGGCCACACUGGGACUGAGAUACGGCCCAGACUCCUACGGGAGGCAGCAGUGGGGAAUAUUGCACAAUGGGCGCAAGCCUGAUGCAGCGACGCCGCGUGAGGGAUGACGGCCUUCGGGUUGUAAACCUCUUUCAGCACCGACGAAGCGCAAGUGACGGUAGGUGCAGAAGAAGGACCGGCCAACUACGUGCCAGCCGCCGCGGUAACAC
rnacentral:rRNA from 1 species